UGGGUGUUUUUAUUAAAUUUUUUUACGAACGCUUUAAGUGCGGUUAAUUAUUUGUCAUGCUUUACGUGCUAAUAGACGACUGCUUGAAGCCGUAUAAACAACUGCUUGAAGCGGUGGGUGUGUCCCAAAUCGCAUAGUUACCGUCUGUAUAGUAGCCGAGAUACAUGUAUUUGUCCCCACUACAGACCUAUAUUAGGAAAGUAUGCGAUUUGGGACGCAGCCGAACUCUCUUGUUCGCCGUAAAACGUAAAACUGCCGUGUGUGAUCGUGUCCUGUCGCAAAAUGCGGUGAAAACUCCCACACGACGUUCAUAAUGUGAUUAAGGUGUUUACAUGUCACGACUACACGUCCAUAAUGCGACUAAAACAGGAGUACUCCACCUGUCUUAAUUAGAUUAGAGCGUACUUCGAUUAUGACCUUGAUUAAAUUAAGCUUAUUGUGCACAGAUGGAUUUCUCAAGAAGAAGCCCUGUAGUACGGUCCAAACAUGGCGUUCCACAUCUGCUGCCAGAGUCCGUACAGCCGAAGGAUCCACGGAUAAGCUGAAGGCAAAGCUGUGGAUUAAAGGGUGUAUGCUUUUUAAACCCAAGACACCAAGGGACGGGUUCAGGCCUUGGAUAUGAAUGGUUCAUCUUUUUAGCGUCAUGAUUCUCGAGUAUAGUAAGCGCGGUCUGUCUCUGAUCCUCAGUAAAGGCGACCUGUCCCACAUCAUCCUUCAGCAGCU